GAUAAACGCUGGCGGCGUGCCUAACACAUGCAAGUCGAACGCUCUCGGGCAACCGAGGGAGUGGCGGACGGGUGAGUAACACGUGGGCAUCUGCCCUGGGGUGAGGAAUACCAGCGAGAAAUCGCUGACAAGACCGCAUACGCUUCGCAAGAAGCAAAGUCGCAAGACGCCCGAGGAUGAGCCUGCGUCCGAUUAGCUGGUUGGUGGGGUAAUGGCCUACCAAGGCGACGAUCGGUAGCUGGUCUGAGAGGACGAUCAGCCACACUGGGAUUGAGAA
rnacentral:rRNA from 1 species